rnacentral:rRNA from 1 species
CCCGACUCGGGGAUAAGCCGGGGAAACCCGGUCUAAUACCCGAUGGGACACUCCGCCGCAUGGCGGGGUGUGGAAAGUUUUUUCGGUCGGGGAGGGGCUCGCGGCCUAUCAGCUUGUUGGUGGGGUGAAGGCCUACCAAGGCGAUUACGGGUAGCCGGCCUGAGAGGGCGACCGGCCACACUGGGACUGAGACACGGCCCAGACUCCUGCGGGAGGCAGCAGUGGGGAAUAUUGCGCAAUGGGCGAAAGCCUGACGCAGCGACGCCGCGUGGGGGAUGACGGCCUUCGGGUUGUAAACCUCUUUUACCACUGACGCAGGCCCCGGUUUCUGCCGGGGUUGACGGUAGGUGGGGAAUAAGGACCGGCCAACUACGUGCCAGCAGCCGCGGUAAUACGUAGGGUCCGAGCGUUGUCCGGAAUUAUUGGGCGUAAAGAGCUCGUAGGCGGCGUGUCGCGUCUGCUGUGCAAGUCCGGGGCUUAACCCCGGUUUUGCAGUGGAUACGGGCAUGCUUGAGGUAGGUAGGGGAGACUGGAAUUCCUGGUGUAGCGGUGAAAUGCGCAGAUAUCAGGAGGAACACCGGUGGCGAAGGCGGGUCUCUGGGCCUUACCUGACGCUGAGGAGCGAAAGCGUGGGGAGCGAACAGGAUUAGAUACCCUGGUAGUCCACGCUGUAAACGUUGGGCGCUAGGUGUGGGGACUUU